CCACGUGGGGCUGCAGUAGGGAAUCUUCCACAAUGGGCGAAAGCCUGAUGGAGCAACGCCGCGUGGGUGAAGAAGGUCUUCGGAUCGUAAAACCCUGUUGUUAGAGAAGAAAGUGCGUGAGAGUAACUGUUCACGUUUCGACGGUAUCUAACCAGAAAGCCACGGCUAACUGCGUGCCCGCAGCCGCGGUAAUACGUAGGUGGCAAGCGUUAUCCGGAUUGAUUGGGCGUAAAGGGAACGCAGGCGGUCUUUUAAGUCUGAUGUGAAAGCCUUCGGCUUAACCGGAGUAGUGCAUUGGAAACUGGGAGACUUGAGUGCAGAAGAGGAGAGUGGAACUCCAUGUGUAGCGGUGAGAUGCGUAGAUAUAUGGAAGAACACCAGUGGCGAAAGCGGCUCUCUGGUCUGUAACUGACGCUGAGGUUCGAAAGCGUGGGUAGCAAACAGGAUUAGAUAUCCUUGUAGUC
rnacentral:rRNA from 1 species